UCUUCUGCCUUUUGUUGUUCGUAUGAAAUAUUUCCCCAAUAUAUUCAACGCGGGUGAUGUCCGCUUGCUUGGAAGUAUUCGUGUGCUAAUUGCGUAUUAUUGUUUGUGCGGGGAAAAAAGAUGCAGAAAUUUUUUAUGAUCUUAUUUAAUUCGAAUGACGGUCUGAACAAUUUUUUCAUAAAUAAUUGACCUUAAAUAAGGUAUUUUUAGAACGGUAAGAUUGCCGGGUACGCGAUUUCAAAUAUGAUAAUAUUACGAGUGUUUGUUUUAUAUUUACCAUUCGUAUUCGUAUAGAAAUAUUUUUUAAGGAUUUUGGUAACGUAGUAUCUUAUUUUAUAUAAUUUUUAAAGCACGUUUCCCCGCUGUAGGACUAAUAUAGCAGUUUACAUAGUUCUUCUUUAAUCCCGAAUGAAUAACGUCAUUUACCUAAUUUGUCGCCACUUUUUAAAAUCAAAAUAUAUUUGGAAAUAUGUAUUUAUUUAUUUAAUAUAUUAUUGUCAGUAUUAAGAUUGUUCUAUUAUUAUAUAGUGACUCAAAUGGACUAUAUUUAACUCGUAGCAUUGUUUUUUAGUUCUCUCUUUGCAAACAUUCCUCAUUUGCUUCGUUGAAACUUGGCAAACAAUUAGAUUGCUCCGAUUUCAGCAUUAUUUAAAAAAAAUCUAACUAAUAUACAGUAUCCAUAUAUUUUUAAAAAAAUAAAUACAUGCAGUAAUUAAAAUAGCAUUCCACCCGUGUUGAAAAAAAAGUUGAAGUUAAAAUAAUAACUUUGUCAUCAGAAACUACUUCUAAGUAUAGGCCUCGCUGAGUUCUCUCCGGGGCCCGUGGAGACAAGUGAGGGAAUUGAAAUCGCAGAUGACCCCCCAAAAGAAAGCCUCGGGUCAUCCCACGGUCACACUCUGAGUUUGUUGUCACAGCACGCGCACGCACAGCACACACACACACACACAUACACUCAGGCCCAAACAACAGACCACACUGGUCAAACAAGCACCUGAAUAACAAGUCACAGUCCACCUCCGAGGACCUGUUUGACCAAAACACCACAGCAGACUUGAUACGAGCUGUCCAACAGAAACUUUUUUACGUGCACUUCCACAACAUGAGUGAUGCAGCCGAUGGUUCCCAUUAGGCUCCACCAAUAAACACGUACAUGAUGACAGACGAACCAUUAAAGCCUUGGUGGAGGACUGAUUAGAGAUUGACUUGUCCUGUUUUUGAUGGAAAUGAUGUGGUUUAAACUCUAUAUUUGGUCAUAUAGCUAUCAAAGCGAAAACGAAAUUUUAAAAUUAGAUUUCAGAUUUGGUGGAGAUUAAGGUUUAUUUUUUAAUAUAAAUGCAGCGCAAAACCUAAAAUGUUGAAUUGUUCAUUUGGCUUAAAUUAAAAAUAAAAUUAUUGUUUGUUAUGUAAUUAUUUAUACAUUUUACAGAAAUAGUAACAUUCUUUGAAAACGGUAUGUUGAUUUUACGUUUUCACCUGUCACUUAAUUAGGUACACUUGCGCAAUAUGUUACCCGAAAAAUAAAGGUCAGAAUAAUGCAAACUUUAUUCAAUCAUUAUCUCGCUGACAUUGUCCAUCCCAUUAGACGGACUGAAAAAGUGGCUUGUGUAUUUAGUUCAGUAUAUUAUAUAUUUCAAUAUAUUAUUGCACCCUCAGUUGGAAUAAAUAUUCGAUACACUGACGGCAAGUAUCAAUAGUUUACAAAACGCUAAAGAAACGGGCAGUAUUUAAUUUCUCCCGUUCUGUUUGUGGGGGCGCUAAAUGCACAAAUGGGUUUAAAGUAGACGGAUGAAUGUUUUUUUUUUUUUCUUUAAAAGUUUUGGCGUUCAGUAAAUACAUAUUUAGACCAGGGACGUGCGGUCAGAAGAGGCAAGGGAGGCCACGCCUCCUCUGCCAUCAUUAUAGGGGAAAAAACAAAUUCAAUUGUUUUUAUAAUAAACUAAUUUUCCUUUUAAUUUCAGUCGUUUUGUAUCAUUUUGAACCAAAAUUGCAGAAUUGUUAUAGUUAUUUUAAAACCGAAGACGAUUCGCUCGUUGGAGCCAACUUCCUGUCUAGCCUCCUCUGAGGAUUGCGUAAUCACACGGCUGCCUAUGUUGACAGGCUAUGCAUUCUCUGUCUUUAUAUCGCUGUUUAAGUGUUCAAACACGGUGGCUAUAUUAACCUAUUUCCGUAGUUAAGCUGAUGUAUAUAAUAUCUAGUAAUUUUUGUCAUCUGUCUGUAGCGUCGUGUUUCUUAAGAUGAACAAAACGGCUUUGAAAAGAGACCGUACGAAAAAGGUUCUCCAGCCUUAUGGCAGGGGGCGCUAGUGAUCCCGGGAUGCUUCAUGGGCCUACCUGUAGAAUAAGAGAUCUCCAAUUCAAUUUACAGUGAACAGCUGAGGAGCAGUCGUCCAUUUGUUUCGUUUUACAUUCGUUUUGUUUGUUUUUUUCGUUUUUACAUUUCUUUUUACAAUGGAGGAUUACAGGAGGUCAUCAGUAAAGGAAGAUCAACUCUGGAGUUAAAAGGUUUCAUUCGGACAACGGGACUUGGGAGCAAACGGAAUGUAUCAAGGGCAAUUGACUCAACGCACCAGCAGCUAAGUAUAAAUAAUAAAGCACGCACUGUUUGUUUUCUUAGUCAUGUGGGUCAUGGUAAUUUGCAAAAUUUGAAUUAAGGCAAGUGUCUUUUGACUUAUGCUAUACAAAUAAUAAUUGUUCAUGAUUAAACAGAGAUAUAGAGAUGUAUAUUAUUAUAUCAAUAUAUAGUUGGUAUUCUCAAAAUUGCAUCAUGAAGGCUAUAAUGUGUCCAGCUGUGGCUUGAACUUGCCAAAUGUUGAGUGCCCAUGUAUUAUUUAGCAAGGGCAUAAUGAUUUCCAUUCAUCAACAAUUUAUAUUCAGAAACAACCCAAAUUGUGUUCAGUUAUUCUCAUUUUCUCUAAUGGCGACCAAGUCGUCGUCCAUCUGCGGUCACCUAAAUUACUUUUCCUCACGCUAGCAAUUCUUAACACGCAACAGAAAGUUAGUCAGGUAGCAGUAGCAGACAGAAAGAAGAAAAAAAAAAAAGACCAGACAGAAGUCAGUCAUCAGGGUUGUCGAGGUAUUGGCACAUGAGCGCUCAUUGACCACUCCCCUGUUGUGAUUGGCAGCUAAAAUGAAUUCCUCCAUCGACAGACGUGCGUCUCAGUAUGCCGAUAAAGGCGGCCAGCCUAUAGAGCCAUUGACAGUAUGAUGGAGGGAGAGACGGGGAGAAGGUUGUUAAGCAACAGCGGCAAGGCAUGAGAGAUGGAAACUAGCAGAGGUUAGGUGUUAAAGGAUGACUGGCCGGUCCACAACUCACCUUGUAGAUCAUCCCGCGCUUCUGGCCGAGUUGGAAUCUUCUCCACCGAGCGGUCCUGCUCGGCCCGACGCGACCACACAAAGACAUGUGAAGAAGGGAGGCCGCUUCAUUAUCAGGGUUGAGGCCCAGAGAGGCGAGAGGAUGGCUGCAAGGGCUGUGGCCUCCAGCUCCAUCCAUCACACACGUCCUGACCUUGGCUUGACCCAAGCAUGGCAGCCAAUGAGGCGCCCUCUUUCCCCUUCCAAACACUCGCACACACUUAUCUAGCCGUGCAUUAACAUCGAAGAGAUCGGGUGACACCGAGCGGAGGCCGCAUGCUCUUUGUCGGCCGACGCUCUUUCGUUCCUUUGUUUUUUUACGUGACUAAUGUGAGUAACAACACCUGACAAACAGGCUGUUCAUCCUGUCUCCUCUCUGAGGCUCGUGCCCCCCUCUCUUUGUCACACACAAUAGAAAACAGUAGCAAGGUCCUCCAUCUAUCUCCAUAGAUUCCUAUUGUGAGGAGACGACGUGUCAUUUCGCCAACGAGAAGGAGAGCCCAUUCAAGCAAAAAAGUAGACUUGGAUAGAGAACAUAAUGCUGAGAAAUGAAGCACAUGCUUUCUGAGGGCCACUAGGGGCCACUUUAACAGAUACAAAAAGACCCCCCCCCCCCCCACAUCAGGGACGUGCGGUCAGAGGAGGCUACCUUGCCAUCAUGAAAAGGGGAAAACAAAUUCAAUUGUUUUUAUUAUAAAGUCAUUUCCCUUUUAAUUUCAAUAGUUUUGUAUCAUUUUGAACCAAAAUCGCUGAAUUUUUACAGUUAUUUUAAAACGGAAGACGAUUGGCUCGGAGGAGCCAACUUCCUGUCUAGCCUCCUCUGACGAAUUUCAGGAGAGUAUCUUCAUCUCCAUCCUUGGUGAAUCUGCUUACUCAGCAUUUCUUUUACUUUUAACAUUUCACCUACUAAAUGAAUGAGUCACUUCCAAUGUUUUGGACACACCCAUCACCUCCUUGGGAGAUCUUGUGCCAUUCAAGCGUGACCUCGGAGUUUAACCAAUGCAACCAAACAAACGGGCGGCAUUGUUGUUGCUAUGACAACCUCCCAAACAACCUCGCCUUAAAGUUUCCGUUUUGUUAGCACGAGAUUGUGAAAAGGAUUUGGAGUUGGUCCGCUGUUGAUGUGCCCUUGAGCAAGACUUUGACAUCUCUGCUUGCAUGGAAAGCAAAGUUGAACUAGUAAUUAUUUUUAAGAAAAACAAUUGAUCGUGCUUUCACGCAUUGAUGAUUUAUCACAACGCAUCAAAUAUCGUGAAAUCUUUCCUUGGUUGAACCCGCCGACAUUGUCCGCUUGGUUCGUUUUGCUUGUGGUUACUUUGCAAAGCUGUUAAACACACACAGCUGAACCGUGGCCUCUACGUUUAAACUGCAGCGCCAGCAGCACUCUUGUCAAUAACGCUCUGCAGUCUGAGCCAAGACUUUGAUAUGGAGGACCUGAGGCUUUGUUCUUCUGACGGCUGAAGUAGCACGUGUUGCCACGUCGCCUCUAGGUCGUAAUUGCUAACAUAUCGCGGAAAAAAAAAUAAAAGGUGCUACAGUGGCUUACUCCACAUACAAGGCCCAAGGCUAAAAAGAUAAAAUAUCUUUAUGUUAGACAGUGUUUUGGAUCAUGGCGUGAUGUUUUUGCUUACCUGAGCCACCUGUCUGCUCCAUGCACAGAAAGAAUAAUGGCGCUCACGUGCUAGCUGGAAACACAAUCCGGGAUGAGAUAAAGGCAGCAAUUUGUGUGCUAACCGGCAUGAUGAUCAUUAUUUAAGAGGUGUCAAACGAUUUGAUUGACACUGACAGCGAGAAUUAAUUUUCCAUUGUUGAUUAUCUUUGGCGUAAUCGGAGCUGUUUCUAAUAUUUGGGCUCAGUUGCCAAUCAGAAAGUCGGUGUGUAUUCUAAAGCAGGUUGUGUUGAGAUUGAAAGAGAUGUUUUAGUGACAGGUGAGAAGUGUCAGCGGUGUAACUCUAAGCCUGUCGUUGGUAAACGCCCUGAAGCAAGCGCAUCUCGCUGUGGGAAGCGUCUUGAAACUAUGCGCUGAUAGACUGACUGGCCUGUCCCCUUUAGGCAAGGACCGGUCGAGAUUUGGAUCUCACUCAAGCGAUGGGCGCAAAUCCAGACAAAUUGAUGUGAAGUGGAGCCUUUGAAACACUUCGUCUGUGUCAACGAUCACUUCCGUAUUCUGCAAGUUAGCCAAUCUCCUUUAUUUACACAUUGAGAGUUGCUGACUCCACUUUUUUUCUUUAAAUAUUGUUAAACCCAUUAAUAUGCUUGCUUUCUGAUAAAGAGCAAAGAUUGUUGUUACCUCUGUGGUUGACAUAAAAGAUUACUCCGGUAGCUUGUUGGCUUAGUUGGGCACUGUGGCUGUUUUCUGAUGGUUGCCUAGCAACUGCUUGGUAACAAGAGACAGUACAACACGACACUGGUUUGUUCUGUAUGGGUUAGAAGAGUUGGAAUUGAAGGGAAAAUAUAAUUACUUUGGAUUAUUGGAAAUUUAGUAUGGAGUUUAACCAAAAAAAAGUGCAUUGGCGCCGUUGUGGGCGUGAACACAGAAGGUAACAUUUAACAUUUGUAACAUACUUUUGUGUGUAAACCUGGUGCCGACCACUUCCCUGCUCACCUGCCCCCCUUCGUCCCGAGUGGUCGUUAUCGUUUCAACUCCAUAGAGACUCGUCUAAUGACAGCACUUGUCUAUAACAUGGCCAUCAGCGCCCAUGUGUGCGUGUGGAGGAGAUGUGGCGGUGGGGGUAUUGUGCACGUUUGCCCUGUAAUGACAGCGGCUGUCUAUAACAGCUCGUCCUGGCAGGGAUCAUUCGCUCCAGCCUCGCUGUCCGGUGUCACCAAUGUCCGGGUGGACGAUGAUGUGAUCUUUAGUCCCCUCUGCGAUCUAUAGACUGGCAUUUGGCUCAGGGAGCGUCCCAAGGCUCUGACAUGCAUGCUAAACUUGGAGCCUUUCUGCCGAUAUCAACCCCCCACCCACCCUUCUCUUGGCUCAGCAGCGAGGAAGUUAACGCCAGACGCGGCAUUAUUGUGACAUGCUGCGUUAGAUGCAAAAGUGGCAGCUCGCCACUGAAGUUCGCAGUUGACCUCUGCGCGGAGCCUGAUGAUGCUACACGACUCUUAAGUCUGCUAGCAAAUAUUUGAGUGUAUUUUAAUUUGAAUGCCAUACGCACGCAUGAUGAUCACUUUGCACCGAUUGAAUCCUGAGAGCAGAUUCCUCCUAAUGUGACUCUCAAGUCCUAGCGUGCCUUGGAGUAUUAUCAUAUUAGCAUUCUUGACUGCUCCGUGUUUUUGACGGCUAAUGAAGGCUUAAAUGCUCUUUGGCGUAUGUGUUGUGCGCGGUCCGCAGGGAACGCCGCCCGCCCGUGUCCUGUCCUGCAUUGAUGCCAUCACGCUCUCAUCUGCAUGCCACGCUUGACAGCUCAGACCUUCUUUCAUCCACACGCCAUCUCCUUUCCUUUAUCAUCUUGGUCUCUCUGUCACUUUCCAUUAAUUCCCACUUCUGUUUGUCUCUCUUCAUUUUCUUUUUGCAGUUCUUUUUUUUGUGCCAUCUCGCCUGCGUUCUGAUUUGGGUCGAUACUGCGUGUGUUAAGGAUUCACUGGUUGUGCUUUCUAGAUAAACACCCUGUUAGCAGGAUUAUCCCUGUUGUCCUAACAAUGUAAACCCGGGAUUAGGCCUCGCUCUCCUGGGGAUGCAAGUACGUGUGUGUUGAGGUCAUUAGUCUGCUUUUGAGGAAUACUGAGGUCCCAUUAGUUCGACACAAAGGAAAUAUAAGAAGCUUGCAUUGCAAUUUGACAUAAAGGCAACAUUGAAGUUAAUGAUCAAUAUUUUUUUUUGAUAGGUCCGAGGUGCAAAGGAAUGAAGGUGUGAAAGAUUCGGGUGAAGCUCUUUGGAGCAAGCUGCGGUGGCGAUUGAAAGGGCAAAGCCUUUUUUGCCACAUUAAGCAAGCGUAUCCUGUACUUCUCAUCACUCUGCAAGUCCCUCGUCAUGGCUGCGAUACCACCCGAGGACCCGAAGACAAGCUCCCAAACGCGCCUGCAGAAGUGGAGUGGAAGCAGUUGUGUUUAGCUUGGCGGCCAGAACUAGCAGGGGUCAAAGACGUGUGAGUCAACCAGGAAGUAUCAGGCUGCGUCGACAGGAAGUGAGCGGACCAAACAGGAAGGAGCAGGCUACUGAGAGGCGGCGACAUUCACAGCGGGGAUUGAAACAUUGACAAUGUUUCCCUCAAGGUGCUCUCCAUCCUAAGAGAACCAUUGGUCACUCCAGAUAUUGAAGAAGCUCCAGCUGACUCCAGGCCAGCAUGGUGGAGUGCAGGUGUCACAUUGUCAGGGUUGUCACCAACCCAAUUACACUUGGAUCGCACAUAAACAACACAAUGGCACACACACGAUAUGAGUGAAAGAGCAGCAAAAGAAAAAUACACAAACACACAGAUGAUAGCUUCUCACAACCAGUCCUCUUUUUCUUCUCCAAGCGUGUGUGUGCUCUAAUAGCGUUUAAUGCGCAGACUAAUGGUUUCUGUAGGGAAUCCUUGUGUGCAGUCUGAGUAGAAGCUUGGGCUGAGUGCUGGCAGGCAAUCCCUCAUCCUGAUACCACAUGGAGCUGAGAGCCAGGGGAGUAUCCAACCUCUCCGUUUCUGACUGACUCAUCCCCCACGUGUCUUUAUCACACCGCCAUUUAUUUGGAGUGUAAUGAAGACGCGAUGGGCUCCGGGCCGUACCCGGCGGCGACGGGGUGACACUGAUGAAUGGCUGAAGGUGCGCUCACUGCUGUCAGCCAGGAGAGGGACGACUGUCAGCUUGCUGCAAUUAGGGGGCGCCUGAAGAUGACGUGCUGUUGUGAAAGCCAGGUUAGAAGAUUGGAUUGGUGGACGUGACGUCAAACCUGUAGGUGAAUAGAAACCAGCAUCCGCGUCUUAUCCCUCACCGCUUCCCCCGAAGAUGAACGAGGGACGUUUUCGUCCCACCCCGCUCACGCUCAUCCUUCCUCCCGGGCCGCUUUUCUCACCGUUGCAUUUGGAAAAAGCCUGACCCAGUAUUAGAGUGACAUUAUGGGGCCAUUUACCACCCUGCUAAAAUAAACCCGUGAAGGAGGAGCGCGACAGAACCAGGUUACGGCACGCCGUGGCGCAAAUGAAUCAAACAAAUAAACGGGGGACUGCGCGGGAGCGUGGAUUCCACUCGUCUGCACUCGGUGACAUCACGCAUCGACGCGUUGCUUGGCAGACAGCUUCGAAUCGGUUCCAGAUAUCUGCUUUGAAUCAUUUCUUGUGGAGGGAAAAUCAACUCAUUGUACCUUUCAAACUUUCUCAAAGUUCUUUUAGCUGUUAGCUUGGACGCAGAAUUAGCUAGGAACAGCUAAUUGGACAUGCAGGUAACAUUUUAACAUCAGCCGGACGAUGACAGCGAGACGAGCGACCCAUCGAUUGGUAAUGAAGCGGC